rnacentral:lncRNA from 1 species
ACUUGAAGUAAUCUGCCCACCUCGGCUUCCCAAAGUGCUGGGAUUACAGGCGUGAGCCACUGCGCCUGGCCCCUUCAGGUGGGUAUUGAGGCUUCACUACAAUACUAGUUCCCCGUUGCUGCCGCAAUAAAUUACCACACACUUAGUGGCUUAAAACAGCAUAGAGGUAUUCCUUUACAUUUCUGAAGGCCAGAAUUCUAAAGUCAGUCCCACUGAGUCAAGGUGGGAGCAGGGUCAGUGCCUUUCCAGGCUCUGCGGGAGAAUCCGUUUCCUGGCCCUGGAGGCGGCCUGUACUCCUCAGCUUGUGCUGCCCUUCUCGAAUGACUCGCGUUUCCUGCUUUCAUCACUACACCUCCCACCGCUCUCCAUCACCUGCUCUGCUCUUAUAAGGAUCCAGAGAAAUGGAAUAAUCUUAUUGCUGAUCUAUGUAAACAAGUUGAAGAAUUGUCUGAAAGAAAAUACAGUGUGUCUAAACUGGAAAAGUCCUGUAAUAGUUUGUUCAUGAGCAUUUACACAGUGGAGUUACUGUUCAUCAUGGGGGUACUGUGGACAAGCCCAGGGCUGCUGACAUGAAGUUAUGAAUUUAAGAUGUGAAGAUUUACAGCUUGAUAAACCAGCUUCAGGAGACAUGAUCUUAUGAAUUCAACACAUGAAGAUUUACAACUUGAUAAACCAGCUUCAGGAGAUCAGAACUUCUUAUAAUACAACUGACGUUACUCAGCCUAGAACAAAUACAACAGGGAUUGUGCUGCAUUCUGACUUGGAUUCUGCCAUCGAACACAGAAUGCCCUGAUCCUUAGAUGCAGAGGCAGCUCUUCAGCCUAUGGGGGCUGCUGUAAAAUAUUACAGGCAUACUUUGGAGAUGUUACGGGUUUGGUUCCACAUCACUGCAAUAAAGCCUUCCAGAUAUACAGUCAUAUUUCUUAUAUUACACGAAAACUGUGGAUUUAGUUACUCCACUCUGCCAUGUCUUUCCACCACUGCCUGCACAUUUGAGACCAAGGAUAGAGAUUGGGAAAAAUUGAUAGUUCUCCUGCCUCAGAGUUUGGCUCCUGCACUCUCAUUUCAGCCAUAGCUGCAGACAAAGCACACGAUUGCUGGGCACUGUGGCUCAAGAGAAGGAGGAGAUGCAGUAAGAAGAUGAGCCUUAAGUCUGAACGCUGAGGAAUUCAUGUGCAUCAGUCGGACCUCCUGUGCAAGAAAGGAUGUGGUUACUACGGCAACCCUGACUGGCAGGGUUUCUGCUCCAAGUGCUGGAGGGAAGAGUACCACAAAGCUAGGCAGAAGGAGAUUCAGGAGGACUGGGAGCUGGCGGAGUGACUCCAGCGGGAGGAAGAAGAGGCCUUUGCCAGCAGUCAGAGCAGCCAAGGGGCCCAAUCCCUCACAUUCUCCAAGUUUGAAGGAAAGAAAACCAACGAGAAGACCCGCAAGAUUACCACAGUGAAGAAAUCUUCAGUACGUCUUCCAGGGUCGGAUCAAAGAAGGCUGAAAUUCAGGAAGCAAAAGCUCCCAGUCCUUCCAUAAACCGGCAAACCAGCAUUGAAAUGGAUAGAGUGUCUAAGGAGUUCAUAGAAUUUCUCAAGACCUUCUGCAAGACAGGCCAAGAAAUCUAUAAACUGACCAAGCUGUUUUUGGAAGGGAUGCAUUACAAAAGGCCAGUCCUUCUGUAAAAAUCUG